CCAGCCGGCCAGCCGGCCAGCCAGCCAGCGGCCAGCCAGCCUGCCAGCCAGCCAGCAGCCAGCCGGCCAGCAGCCGGCCAGCCAGCCACCCUACCCCUGCAUCCAGUGAGGGUCAUCCCAGCUGCACAGUCCCUGGAGCCGAAGAGGCAGAAAUAUUAAGUAUCGUGUACAAGGCCACCCAAGAAAGCAUUCACGCCCUGCGUCGUCCCUGUCUGCCGGCCAUGAACCACGUCGUCUCCCGGGGACCGGGGAGCCGGAAGGCCACAUUGGGGUGCUCUGAAUGAAGGUCAAGUGAGACAACGUGUGCAAAGCACUGGGCAUGCGGAGGACCCGUGAGUUACCAUC
rnacentral:lncRNA from 1 species